UACGUAGGUGGCAAGCGUUGUUCGGAAUUAUUGGGCGUAAAGCGCGCGCAGGCGGUUUCUUAAGUCUGAUGUGAAAUCUCGUGGCUCAACCACGAGCGGCCAUUGGAAACUGGGAAACUUGAGUGCAGAAGAGAAGAGCGGAAUUCCACGUGUAGCGGUGAAAUGCGUAGAGAUGUGGAGGAACACCAGUGGCGAAGGCGGCUCUUUGGUCUGUAACUGACGCUGAGGCGCGAAAGCGUGGGGAGCAAAC
rnacentral:rRNA from 1 species